rnacentral:lncRNA from 1 species
GGCUCAUGUGAGCUGGGAUCCAGGAACUGUAGCGAGGCCGACACCCCCUCGGUGUGGUGGUGAUGGCUGUCUGGGUCAGAGAGGAUUCCGAGGCCCGGAGGGCAAGUGCGGGGAGGGAUUGGGCAUGCCUGGCACGGGCCCUGGUGGUGGGGCGUGGGCUCUGUUAGACAGAGGCUGGGUUAGGCCUUCAUCACCAGGCACACUGGGUAUUAGGAGCCGUUCUCUUACUACUUUCACCGCCCCCAGCAGCAGCAACACCCAGCCAAGCGCUUUUAUUACCUUUCCAUGAGAUAAUCGGCCUGAUUUCACCAAGUUGUGGCAGUUCUAGUCAAGAACAACGCAUCUCCACGUUUCGCUAGCUCGUGGUUGGAACGAAAGGUGAGGUACAGAGACACACAAUGGGCCCGUCACCUCCCCCGGGUCCCUGGGCUUGGGAGCGGGAGGCGCCCAGGUCGGCGCCCUUUCCACUUUCCAUUGGGGGUGUUUAUCUGGAGCACAUCUGGCUGUGUGGCCUUGAGCCAAACCCCUCUUCUCUUCCAGGCCUCACUCUCCUCCUCGGUAGAAUGGUGCCCAUGACAGUUCUUGACCUUGGGAGCUGUGGUGAGGACAGUUCUUCUUGGCUGUGGGCGGCUGAUGUCGGGGGUUUAAUAAUGGUUUAUUGUGACUGCUGUCAUCAUUCCCUUAGCUCCGCCGUCUGUCUUGGGGAGGCUGAGGUUUGUUUGAGAGGAAGCAUUCAGAACAAGCAGGGACACGUAUAGGUUUUGUCAAUCAAUGACCAGGCCAGGGAUCGAAUUGGAGCUGCAGCUGCUGGCCUACACCACCACCACAAACGCCAGAUCUGAGCCGCAUCUGUGACCUACACCGCAGCUCACGGCAACGCCAGAUCUUUAACACACUGAACGAGGCCAGGGGUUGAACCUGCGUCCUCAUGGAUGCUAGUCAGCUUCCUUGACCGCUGAGCCACGACAGGACCUCCUAGAGACAAUAGUGAUCAUAAAUGCCAUCACUUUGGGACGGAGGAGAUGGCGUUGUUGGCAGGCAUGGAUUCUGGAGAAAGACUGGGUGGUUGACCAGUGAAUCCGGCCCUCUUCUUGGACACUGGGCACCCCGAAAUCCAGAAAGGGGAAGGGGCCUGCCCAGGGGCCCCUGGGUCCAGCAGCCAGCCUGCCCCUGGACGGGUCUGCCUGGCAUCCCAUGAUCCCCCACCAGGUCCUGAGUGGCUCACCUGCUCCGUGAAACACGUCCCUGCCAAGACCAGGGACCCUGGUGGACCCGACUGUGGUCCAUCAGUGGGAAAUCUACGCCCGUCACUGGGAGGACACACAUGGUGUGGCAGGAGGACCUCGGCCUUUCCAUUGUGAAACAGGACCUGCCACAUGUAAAGGGAACGCCCCAUCUCUCAGGGGUGCUGGGGGCGGCUGGGAUGGAGCGGGAAGCCUGAGCUGCUUCUCUGAGCUCCCGCUCAUCACGCGCUGGCAGGCGUGUGGUCCUUGACCUGCCUCCCUCAGAGGUCACGUGAGGGAUGCUGAAAUGCCAAACCAACAGUCAAGAGCCCUGCAAACUGCAGAGUGCUCUGUGUAGAAGCCAAGACCCAGUUCUGACUUUCGUGUCCAAGUGUCAGGCUUCUCAUUUCUGCCUCCAGCUUUUGGGGGAGAAAGACCUGGGCUGGCGAUCCCCCGCUUGAACUGGGAGGUGGCGUCUGCUUGCCGCUCCCUCUUGAGCAGCCAUGAACGACCACAUUCCCCCCAGGCAGGAAUCCCCUUCUAUUUGCUAUCGCUUAGCCUUAGGAGGGGCCUCUUAAACUCUGGCGCUCAAUUACGGCCUUUUUAUUGAAUAAUAACUCAGGUGUGCUUUUCAUUGAGCAUCCCUGAUACCUUUAUUGGUGUUAUUUCAGGAACCCGAAUAAUAAGGAUGAACAAUUAUUUAAAUGCUCAUUAAAGAAAAAAAACACACAAAACACCAAACAGCUCCUAGCAGAGGGAGAGUAGCCUUGCGUUGCAGGAGCCCAACUGCAGGUUGGUUCCCAAGAGUCACAAUAAAAAAUGAUGUUUCCUCAGCGUUUGCAUGUUUUGACUUCCCUGGCACCUCGACUGCAUCAGGCAGGCUGCUUUAAAAUUCCGCCGCGGUUUUAUUACUGCCAGCCUUACGCAGGAAGGCUUCCCUGAACCAGCCACUGCCAGGUACAAGACGGAUCAUAAAAAAAUGAAACAUGCAGAGCCCAGCCGUAACACCUGCACGGUGAUGCGCAGAUUUUGUCGGGUGUGUCCACGUGCGGGAUCUCGUUUGCUCCCUCGUCCCUCCUCGGAAGCAGGCGUGUUGUUCCCCCUCCACUGAUGAGGAAACCGAGGCUCAGAGAGGUUAGGUACCUCGAUUGAUAUCACUCUGCCGCAAAUAAGGCAGAGGUAGGCACCCGGGCUGCUGUCCAGGGUUCUCGUAACUGAGAGGUUGCAGGGAGGAUUUGGAAUUUGAGAAAAACAUACAGGUCUCCCUUUGGAGCGUGCAGAGCCAAGAAGGUCCAGUGGAUUCUAAUAUGUCUGAGGAAGGAAGCGCGCAAGCAGACCAGGAAAACGUGGGCCCUGGAUUCUGUGUCUCCAAGCCCGAUGGAAGGAUCCGAGUGCAGCUGACGUUUCUGGGUCUGUAGGCUGCAUUGCUGGCUAGGUUGCUUCUGAAUCUCUUCGGCAUGGACCUAUCCAUUGGAACCCCAGCAGCCACAGUGGCAGCGUCUUGGGACAUGGAUCCUCUCUGGGCCGCCGGCGAAGGUGGAUCUUCCAGCCCCCUCCCCCGGCAGGUGGCCUGGAGCUCCAGGACGGGGUGACAGCCCUGAGUCUGAAGCAGCCGGCUCCCAGGGGUCUUCUGCGUUUAAACACGAGCCGUCUGCGACCAUGUGUGUGGGGGCUUUAAAAUACUCAGCAAGGUGGCGAAGAGAAAAAUAAAAAAAAAUGUUCCAAGUGGCUCUUCUCUGACAUGGUUCAGUUCUCAAAAAGCGAGCAGCCCCCGUGUUGAAGGCUACUUCCAGGCGAAAGAUAACCAGGAGUGGUGACAUGGAAAAGAACGUUUUAUUUUCAAAGGAAAUUCCAGGAGAGUAGAAAGAGCGUUGUUUAGGGAGAGCCUUUGAGGGCUGGGAGAUUUAAAAAGUAUUGGAAGCUGUCAGGUCCUGGGAAGUGCGUCACCUGCAAUGAACCUUGCCACCUGCAGUGGAGGGACGUGGGGGAACCAAGUUGGUUCAGGGGUGCGGGAAGAGGGGCCCUGGGAUCCCAUUCGAUGGAUACAACACAGAACGCUUCCCCACCUGAUGAACAGGUAACCUCCUCCCCAGGCGGCUUCAGUUAGAAUCUUAAAAGUAUCUUUUGCUCUUUUUUUUUUUUUUUUUUUUUUUUAAUUUUAAACAAGAAAUGGAAACAUCUGAGUUCUUUAGAACAUGCAACUACAUGCUUCUCGGCAGCUGCCAUUUGAGUUUUAAAAAUACAUAUAUAUUUUAAUGGGCCAUUCUGGCUGCAUUGCAGUCUUCAUUCUUGGCCUGCCCGGGAGUUCUGCGCUGGCUUCUGAUACCUGCAUUCCUCAGGAGCCAUAAAACUUUCUAGAAACUGUGUGGACAUCAGAAUAAGAAACAGGAAGUGCUCUGGAGAUACCUCAGGACAUGAAGAUGAGGACAAAGGAGACUGGGCCAAGGGAGGGGGCCCGACUUAAAAACACGAGGAGCCAAGCCAAGCAGCCGUGGGCCGUCACUCGAUUAAUGAGAGUGGCUGCAGCCAGGGUACAGAGCUUCACGUGAAGGCCUAUGACCUCGUGGAAGUGGCGCUUCAUUUGUGUUUUUAGCGGCUGGUCAGAAAGGGAGUUUUUAUUUAUCUUCUUAUGUAUUACUUAUUUAUUGUGCCUUGCUCCAGAAAAAAGUUUGAGGGGGACUCUGCAUACGAUGGCUGCUGGCCAGUCCUCCUGUGAGCCUGUCUGCGGGGAGAGUUCUGCUCCCCACAUCCAUUAACCAAUAAGCCAGGGAAGGAGCCGGUGCCGCCAAGAAGCAGGUGCUUUUCUGUGCCAGCGGUGUAGCACACAGCAAGGGGGGCUGGGGAGUGCAGCGGCCUGCCUGCUCCAGCCUAGGGCCUCCUGCCUGUUUGCGGGGGGGUGCAGCCCCCCUCGGAGGCGCCCACAUGGGGAACUGAAUCAUGCAGAUGUAACUGGGGGAAGGCAGGUACCCAGGCAUCCUAGAGAAAGAGAAUCGUCUCAGAAUUUCUCUGGGAGCUGUGUGUGAGGUGAAGCUGAACUUAGAAGAAGAAGAACUUAGAAGAAGCUCUGAACUUUAGAGCUCUUUUUUCCUUUCUCCCCCCACCCCCCCACCGCCUAUACCGGCUCCCCCCACUGGUCUCCUCAACCACCAAACAUGCAGACCAAACAAGACACGAGUGUGCAGUGAGGCCCGCGUGCAGACACCGGGCUUGGGAGGCAUGUCUUGGUUUCUGGCAGUAGGUGAUCUGGCCCAGUUGGCUCUGUGUCUGGGAGACUCUCCACCCUGCCCCCCUGCCUGGCUUGCGGGGGUGCAGGCCCUUGGUACCUGUUGGGUCUAAACUGUACAGAACUCGGGGCAUCUGGUCCCGGAGCCGCUUGGUUUUUACUGCUAAGGGUGAAGCCCUGGAGAAGCAUAGUUUGUGGGUGAAUCUCCCGGGGAGAUGGGGGUUGGCUUUACCCCCCCCCCCCACACACGGACCCAGCCUAUGGUAAGGAACAUGCCUGCAGCUACUGUACUUUAUCAGCGUUCAAAUCUCCCAGGUACAAGAAAGUCUGAAAAAACAAAAGGGGUUUUCAAGAUUGUGGCUGUGAUGUCCUGUUCCCUUUUCCUUCCCUGGUCAGUGGGCAGAUCUGAUGGUGGGAGGCAGGGCCUGCCCACACCCGCCCCAUCCACGGGAGGCAUCAGGAGAGAGUCUGGCUGGAGACGCAGCCAGUUUCACCUGUAGGUCAAGGACAGCGGCCACAGGACCGGCUCUGGAUGGAACAUGCAGGCUCCAUGCAGUGACUGCUCCAGUGAGGGACACAGACAGGGACGUGUUGGUUCUGUGCCACCAGUGUCCACUCGGAUUUGCUCCUGAUGCCACCAGUGCCAGUUUGUCACAAAUCCCUGCUUGCUGCCAUUCAUCCUGACUGUCUUGUCAGAUGUGACAUUCCUUCACUCAGCAUUUCUGGCACAGGACUUCAUGACCUCCCCCGCCCCCUCCUGGGGUCUGUAGAGGCCAGGUUCGACACUACUGCUGGGGGGGAACUUGUGUGAGGCCAUUCGAGCAAUGCGGGUGGGAGCCAUCACCCAGUCGUGAUCUUUACAACAUGCUGAAUUUCCUCUGUCGCUACACAUCCGUGUUGAAAUUAGACAGUGCUUCGGCGGUCCCGUGGUG